CAGAAGUCUGAUAUUAGGAACACAGAUAUUUCAUACAAGAGAAGCCACGUCUAUCACCUCAAAACAUAGUGUCAAACAACUUCAACGUCACACUUAGACCCAACUUCAACUUUAAACACCAGCAACUGCAAGAAAUUCCAACUUCAAGUGGGUACAUGCAAGCCUCCAAAGCUACCAUCAAAUUCCCAUAGAAAGGACAAAAAAGAUGAAAGAAUCAAACCACGUACCUAGAUGACUAAAGGCCCUGAUCAAUUAGAUAAUCACCAAGCCUUUCCACAAUCAUGUUGCAUUGACCGGGAGUUAGAGGCUCAUCAUACACGCCAAUUAUCAGUGCCUGAUUGGUCUUCUUGACAGUGACACCACCAGAACCCUUUUAAAAAUAAUGUCAAGUCAGUGGAAACACACAAAGGCAAAAGAGCUUGUAUGCAAGAGCUUGAUGCAAUGCACCAUGCAGCAAACAUUUCUGCACCUGUGAAACACUAAGUUCUUUUCAUCAAAUUUUGUGUACAAAGCAACCAACCAAUGCACAUUCCACAAUUAAGAACUAAUUCAGUCACGAGUCACUCUGCUAGAUACUUGCCAACCCCAAAACUAUCAUACAUUUAAAGCCACCAUCUUUUUUUUUCUUUUUUUAAAUUCGAACAGCCUAGCUGCAAAGUGGGGAAUACACAACAAUAUGAACUAGCAAAUCACAUUCACAUUUCCAUUCCAUAUCUAGGAAUCACUCCCUAAAUACUCCAUUCCGUUUCCAACUUCAGAAAACACCAACCUAUCCCAUCUCUACAUUGCGCAAACCUAAUCUAUUAAUAUUAAUUGUCAAUUAGACCUUUGGCAACUUACAUGGAGCAAAUCUAAUUUAAAAGGAAAAUAACUUAAAAACAAUAUAUCACAUAAAAGCUCCAAGCAACUAACAUGGCAAGCAAUAGAUGGUAAUAUCUGGGUUUCAGAAGCAUCAAAUAAUUGGUCAAGUCUGGAAAAAGCUUAAUACUUUUGAAAAUAUCAAAAUGAUUUACCUGUUAAAUAUAACAUUGACUGUAGACACAAAUCAACAACAGGACAAGCUAACAAGUUAGGGCAAUCAUCAAGAGAUUAGUUGUUGAUCGUUAAUGUUAGUUAAACAAUUUUGAAUUUCAAAUAUUUCAUCUAAUCACCAUCACUUUCCCAUGCAUUGCAUGCCUUUGGAUAUCUGAUCCAAGAAUUUGGGAUGCUAUUCGAUGACGAAAGAAGGGUUUGAAAUUCAAAAUUGUCUAAUUAUUACAACAAUUAACCACUAAAUAACACCUACUAAUCUCUUAACGGCACCCAACCAGGUAACAAGACCCUUUACAAUAUAAUUAAUAAUUGUCAGUCAGUGCAUGUCGCUAUUUAAAAUCCUCAAAAUUAGCAAUAUCUCAAUAAAAGAAACCGAAUCAUCACCUUCUUUCCUCGGAUAACAGCUCCAGGUUCGCCUUGGAUCACCAUGUACUUGGUGCCACCAAGGAACAACCCAGUUGGUGCAAGAGAUCCAGGUUCCUCAAAAUCUUUCAUGAUCGCGCUC
rnacentral:lncRNA from 1 species